AGUCACUGACAUUAGAUACCCGCGUAGUCCCAGCCGUAAACAAUAUGCGUUAGGUGUGUCGGUAACCACGCGUUACUGAUGCGCCGAAGAGAAAUCGUGAAACGCACCACCUGGGAAGUACGGUCGCAAGGCUGAAACUUAAAGGAAUUGGCGGGGAGCACCACAACAGGUGGAGCCUGCGGUUUAAUUGGAUUCAACGCCGGACAUCUCACCGGAUAAGACAGCUGAAUGAUUGUCAAUCUGAAGGUUUUACAUGACUAGCUG
rnacentral:rRNA from 1 species